ensembl:piRNA 21ur-986 ncRNA
UCUCGUCAAGCGAUGAAUCAA